AUUCCAGCUCCAAUAGCGUAUAUUAAAGUUGUUGCAGUUAAAAAGCUCGUAGUUGAAAUUCUGAUUGUUCGGGUUUUUAGCCUUUAGGCGGAAAUACCGACAGUCAUCCGCUUGCAAACAUACGUUUGACCUUAACCAGUUGACUAUGUGAGUAAGCAUUUUACCUUGAGAAAAACAGAGUGUUCCAGGCAGGUUUGUCCGGAAUGCAUUAGCAUGGAAUAAUAGAACAUGACUGAAGUCUAUUUAUUGGUUAAAGGCUUUAGUAAUGAUUAAUAGGAACAGUCGGGGGCAUUCGUACUCAGCAGUCAGAGGUGAAAUUCUAAGAUUUGCUGAAGACGAACUAAUGCGAAAGCAUUUGCCAAGGAUGUUUUCAUCG
rnacentral:rRNA from 1 species